rnacentral:tRNA from 1 species
UCCAGGGUAGCCUAGUGGACAUGGCAUAUGCCCGGUAAGCGGAACACAGUGGGUUCGAUUCCCAUCCCCGGAC